AUUUCAUCGAUUGUAACUAUGUCGAAGGCGAUGACUGUAAUUCGGCUUCUAAUGACCACGAUGUUGAUAUUGAAAUCAUUGAAAUCAUGAAUCCAAAAAAAGCGAGCUACUUUUAUUAUGAUAACUCCACGAUCAUGGAGCACAGUUAUGGUGAAAAUUCACAAAAUUUACAAGAUCCAAUAAAUUGUGAAAAUAAGAGUGACAAGAAAUUUUGAUGUUCACUAUAAGAAUAAAGGUGUCAAACGAAAAAGAGGUAAGAAAAGAUCGGAACUUUUCUUUCCCCGUAAAAAGAAACGAACUGAAAACACUGAAAAAAUAAAUCGGCAAAUUAUCAAGACGGAACCAUCUGAAGAAAUAGUAGCAACAAGAAAAUAUCGUUUUUAUUGCAGCGCAUGCGAAAUCACUUAUCCGGAAUUUUCGGAAGAAAGUAUGAAAAAAUGUCCUCAGUGCAAUACCACGAUCAUGUUUCAGUGUAAUUGUUGCGCGAAAGUAUUCCAUAAUAGGUAUAAUGCUCA